CAGGUCAAGGCAGGCAUGGGAUGAACUUUGUAGACCAGUGCAUGAGGGGGGUGUUGGUCUACGUAACUUGCAUGAGGUGCAGACUUCACUUCAUAUGAAAUUGGUCUGGAAUUUACUACAGGGACAAGUGGUCUUCUGAUGGCCUACUUAUAGAUCGACAGGAGGUUAGAGAUUCACCGAAUAUUUUAUUAGUAGAUUGCAAGACAAAAAGGGGAUAAAAGGUUGAAGUUUUUGAUUGCCUGGUAGGGAUGGAAAAGUCAGAACAGAUUAUAGAAGAACUGGGUAGAGUGAAACAGGGGAGAGAUGUGCUCAUUUGGCUAGUGCUCAAGGAAGCUUUUCCACCCAUUCAACAUGGAAUUGUAUUCAAACCCAUGCUCCUAAACUGCCGUGGGUACAUUGGUUGUGGCAUCCUGCAAUACCAAGGAAAAUGUCUUUAAUUAUGUGGAAGACUCAAAACAAUUGUCUACCUGUGGAUGAUCGAGUUCGCAGAGCAGGAACCCCAUUGGUCUCAAAGUGUGAUUGUUGUAGUGUUGGGAGAUAUGAGGACCAGAACUAUAUUUUGGCACUUGGGUCUUUUGCGGAACAGAUUUGGCACACUUGUUCUAUAAAGCUUGGAAUGCCUUUAUUGGAAGGUAAAACAUGAAAGGAAAAAAUUGAAGUCUGGUAUAGGCAUGCAAAGCUAUCCUCACAGAGUGCUCAAUUAAUUGGCCUUUUGCCUUAUAUUAUUACUUGGAGACUAUGGACUCGACGGUGUACAACUAGAAUGGAGGGAAAGCAGGAGUCUAUCCAAUCGGUUUGGAGUUCAAUUACAUAUUGGUUGGCUUUAGUAGGAGAAAACCUUACGGUGUCCUCCAACUUUUCUAGAUGGGAAGUGGAGAUUUUGCUAUUAUUUAAUAUCCAUGUUAAGAAAAGAAAGUUUAUAAACUCUAAAAUAGUGCAGUGGACAAAGCCUCAGGAAGGUUGGUAUAAGUUGAAUGUUGAUGGCAGUUCGCUAGGGAAUUCUGGUGCAUUGGGUGGAGGAGGGGCUAUCAGAGAUUAUAAAGGGAAUUUGAUCUCUAGUUUUGCUAUAAAUGCUGGUAUAUAGUCUAAUAAUUUUGCUGAAUUUAUGGGUUUGCUCCAAGGACUACGCAUGGUAAGAUUUUUGGGUUUUUAAAGGGUAGAAAUUGAGAUGGAUUCAAAGUUAGUAAUGGAUUGGUUGAAGAAGAAAAGGUGUGGCCUUUGGUAUUUGGAAGACUACUGAGAGGAGUUGUUAAGCGGAUGCUCUUCUAUUGGAUCAAUAAUGUGUUCUGGGUAGAGACUUGGUAUUAGGUUGUUUUUGUUUGGUUUUUGUUGGUUCAUUUGAGUUUAAUAUUGUAAUCACGGCUUUCCUCAGCCAAAAGUGAGUUUUUUUUUAAUAAAUUAGAGAGGGGUCAUUCUUGGA